GUUUUUUUCGCUUUUAUGGAAGAUGUAGUUCUCAAGCAAAUUACCAAAUUCUUAAAAAUAAGCUUCGUUUUCGAUUAAAAAAAAGUAUCGAACAAAUAUCUUCAAUCGUGAUUUCAGUUAAGGCAUCAGAAACAAAAAGACAUUGUAUUCUUCUUUUUGAAAGAAGAUGUUGUGACAAAGACAGAGAAAGGGAUGCUGAAAUGGCUUGGAGACGUGGAGCGAAUCAGAUAAAAAAGAAUGACUUAUCAAAUAUGUGAGGCAAGUGUGUGUGGACAAGUCAGUCGUGGGAGACCUCGUAGAAAUAUUCGUCGAAUUGGAGACGUAUUGAAGAAAGGAAAGGUCCGACGCACCCGUAACCAGCGAGCAUGUAUGAAGAGGAAGCUCGUGACGUUUGUAAGGAUAGAAGCAAAUGUUGUCUCUGCCUAUAUUAAUGGAUAAAGGUGUGAGUGUGUGUGUGUGUGUGUGUGUGUAUGUGCCAAAUGUAUAUUGUUAUGGGUGCAGCCGAUCUUAAUACCAUCUUCGUGCUGCUGAAGAGAGCUAUUUGCGCCACAAAUACCUAGGUUCUAAUCGAAUCAUUAAGAGAAAAAUUUAAAGAAAUAAACGUUUUAACUCUUGUCUCACAA